UGAACAGUGGCUGAUCGAAAAGCCCUGGGCACUAGUGUUUCUCCAAGAUUAAGUUUACAUGAAGUAUGUUUUUUAAUGUUAUUGUCAUGCGAGAACAUACAUACGUAACACAAAAUGCGGUUGUACAUCACUUGCCUUCCGUAAGGGAUUGGUCGAGGAAAUUCUAACAGACAGAUCAGAAGGUAAAGUAACAUCUCAUGGGCGGCUUCUGCAUUUCAUCCAAAAGUAGUGAUCCAAGUGUCCUUGCCCGUGUCUAUUUGAAAGGAGAACUGGUAUCAUUAUGUGAAGCAUACAAAGUCCGCUUCAGACAAAGUGAAAUCAAAAAGGUGUUGGCUACAAAACUCAUUGAAGGCAUAAGAAGCAAUAGGACAAUGCCAUUCAUUGCGUCUGUUGAUGACCGACAGUUCCGGGUAGUAGAAACAGUUGCUGAUGAGUCCCUUAGUAGUGUGAGGAUCAGGUUCAGACUAUCAGGAGUAACAGAGACAGACUCUUCAAACUGAAGACUAACAUAGCAUACCUUGUGCGCAAACUCAAGUAAAAUACCGAUGACAG
rnacentral:lncRNA from 1 species